rnacentral:rRNA from 1 species
AACAAACGCUGGCGGCGUGCCUAAUACAUGCAAGUCGAACGGGGAAAGCUUUCGGGUGAGUACUAGUGGCGCACGGGUGAGUAACGCGUGGAUAAUCUGCCUUGAAGAGGGGGAUAACCAGUCGAAAGAUUGGCUAAUACCGCAUAAGACCACAGGAACUGAGGUUCUAGAGGUCAAAGGUUUUUCGCUUCAAGAUGAGUCCGCGUAAGAUUAGCUAGUUGGUGAGGUAACGGCUCACCAAGGCGACGAUCUUUAACUGGUCUGAGAGGAUGAUCAGUCACACUGGAACUGAGACACGGUCCAGACGCCAACGGGAGGCAGCAGUAGGUAAUAUUGCACAAUGGAGGAACCACUGAUGCAGCGACGCCGCGUGAGUGCUGAAGGCCUUCGGGUAGUAAAGCUCUGUCGCAGGGGAAUAACACAAUGAAGGUACCCUGUAAGAAAGGAUCGGCUAACUGCGUGCCAGCCGCCGCCGUAAAAC